rnacentral:rRNA from 1 species
AAUCAUGGCAAGUCGAGCGGGAACAGAUGGGGAGCUUGCUCCCUGAUGUUAGCGGCGGACGGGUGAGUAACACGUGGGUAACCUGCCUGUAAGACUGGGAUAACUCCGGGAAACCGGGGCUAAUACCGGAUGCUUGAUUGAACCGCAUGGUUCAAUUAUAAAAGGUGGCUUUUACCUACCACUUACAAAUGGACCCGCGGCGCAUUACCUAUUUGGUGAGGUAACGGCUCACCAAGGCAACAAUGCGUACCCAACCUGAAAGGGUGAUCGGCCACACUGGGACUGAAACACGGCCCAAACUCCUACGGGAGGCAGCAUUAGGGAAUCUUCCGCAAUGGACAAAAUUCUGACGGACCACCGCCCCGUGAGUGAUGAAGGUUUUCGAAUCGUAAAACUCUGUUGUUAGGAAAAAACAAUUACCGUUCAAAUAGGGCGGUACCUUGACGGUACCUAACCAAAAAGCCACGGCUAACUACUUGCCACCAGCCGCGGUAAUACUUAGGUGGCAAGCGUUGUCCGGAAUUAUUGGGCGUAAAGCGCGCGCAGGCGGUUUCUUAAGUCUGAUGUGAAAGCCCCCGGCUCAACCGGGGAGGGUCAUUGAAAACUGGGGAACUUGAUUGCAAAAAAGGAGAGUGAAAUUCCACGUGUAGCGGUGAAAUGCGUAGAGAUGUGGAGGAACACCAUUGGCGAAGGCAACUCUCUGGUCUGUAACUGACGCUGAGGCGCGAAAGCGUGGGGAGCGAACAGGAUUAGAUACCCUGGUAGUCCACGCCGUAAACGAUGAGUGCUAAGUGUUAGAGGGUUUCCGCCCUUUAGUGCUGCAGCAAACGCAUUAAGCACUCCGCCGGGGGAGUACGGUCGCAAAACUGAAACUCAAAGGAAUUGACGGGGGCCCGCACAAGCGGUGAAGCAUGUGGUUUAAUUCGAACCACCCCAAAAAACCUUACCAGGUCUUGACUUCCUCUGACAACCCUAAAAA